rnacentral:rRNA from 1 species
CCUACGGGAGGCAGCAGUGAGGAAUAUUGGUCAAUGGGCGCAAGCCUGAACCAGCCAUGCCGCGUGCAGGAUGACGGUCCUAUGGAUUGUAAACUGCUUUUGUCAGGGAAUAAACCCUUGGAUUUACUCCGAGGCUGAAGGUACCUGAAGAAUAAGCACCGGCUAACUCCGUGCCAGCAGCCGCGGUAAU